GGUACCUGUACUCGUUGCGGUGCAACGAUGGUCAAAGA
rfam:Desulfuromonas acetoxidans DSM 684 ctg57, whole genome shotgun sequence.